rnacentral:rRNA from 1 species
CCUGGCGAACUGAAACAUCUUAGUAGCCAGAGGAAAAGAAAGCAAAAGCGAUUCCCGUAGUAGCGGUGAGCGAAAUGGGAGCAGUCUAAACCGUGAAAACGGGGUUGUGGGAGAGCAAUACAAGCGUUGUGCUGCUAGGCGAAGCGGUUGAGUGCCGCACCCUAGAUGGCUAAAGUCCAGUAGCUGAAAGCAUCACUAGCUUAUGCUCUGACCCGAGUAGCAUGGGGCACGUGGAAUCCCGUGUGAAUCAGCAAGGACCACCUUGCAAGGCUAAAUACUCCUGGGUGACCGAUAGCAAAGUAGUACCGUGAGGGAAAGGUGAAAAGAACCCCCAGUGGGUAGUGAAAUAGAACGUGAAACCGUGCUGAGCUCCCAAGCAGUGGGAGGGGAAAGUGAUCUCUGACCGCGUGCCUGUUGAAGAAUGAGUCGGCGACUCAUAGGCAGUGGCUUGGUUAAGGGAACGGAACCCACCGGAGCCGUAGCAUGCCGAUUUUCAAGAACGCGAAUCUUAUGAUAUGGUGGGAAUCUCUUAUGAUAAUCAUCCGCGCCUUAAACAAUCGCGGUAAAGUAUUCUAAUUCAAUACAAAUUUCGCGGGCGAAUAUUUACUCUUUCCUGUCUUAUUUGUUAAUUUAUAAACUUACUGGUAGAGCAACUCGUUUACACGUGCGCCAAUGCUUUUCAAAUGAGCUUAUUAUGCAAUGAACAUAAUCGAUCUUAUUGCAAAAUCAAAUUGAAGUCAUAGUGUCAUCGUUGGCUGGAAUCGAUAUAUUCGCGAGGAUUCGUUUUUUUUGUGUCACAGCUGAUUACUCCUUUUUUCCGGAAUUCUAUAGGGAUCUAUGAGAUCGAGUAUGGAAUUCUGUUUACUCACUUUAAAUUGAGUAUCCGUUUCCCUCCUUUUCCCGGCAUAACCACGAGUUCCAGUGCACUAGAUCUUGUAGCACUUAGCAACAAAGUGACAUCUCUCUUUCAAGGAGGCAGCGGGGAUUCGACUUCCCCUGGGGGUAGGGUCAAAAUAAAAUCUUUUUAAUUAGUUCUCCUUUUUUGGAAUUUUCUUAUUUGAGGCGGGCCUUGGAAAGUUUUUGAAUAAGUAGGGGGAAUUCAUAGAUCCUCCAAACGUAGAGCACGUAGGGCUUUGAAACCAAAUACGUUACCUACAAUGGAAGUAAACAUGUUAGUAACGGAACCCUCUUCAAAUAGGU